rnacentral:rRNA from 1 species
GACGAACGCUGGCGGCGUGCUUAACACAUGCAAGUCGAGCGGAAAGGCCACUUCGGUGGUACUCGAGCGGCGAACGGGUGAGUAACACGUGAGUAUUCUGCCCUCCACUUUGGGAUAAGCCCCGGAAACGGGGUCUAAUACCGGAUAUGACCCAGCCUCGCAUGAGGGUGGGUGGAAAGUUUUUUCGGUGGGGGAUGUGCUCGCGGCCUAUCAGCUUGUUGGUGGGGUAAUGGCCUACCAAGGCUUCGACGGGUAGCCGGCCUGAGAGGGUGACCGGCCACACUGGGACGGAGACACGGCCCAGACUCCUACGGGAGGCAGCAGUGGGGAAUAUUGGACAAUGGGCGGAAGCCUGAUCCAGCAACGCCGCGUGAGGGAUGACGGCCUUCGGGUUGUAAACCUCUUUCAGCGGGGACGAAGCGCCGAUGAUGGUGGUGACGGUACCCGCAGAAGAAGCACCGGCCAACUACGUGCCAGCCGCCGCCGUAACAC